AAGCUGGCUGCUGAAAUGGUCAAAAGGCACCUUAGCAUUGAUCAAGAGACUGCUGUUUGAGCACACUUGGGAAGUACAGAGUGCUUAUCAGCACUUACCUGUAUCUGAAGGCUAUAGAAGAGGAAUCACUUGAGCCUUUGUAGACUUACCUCAUUUGGAGNGGAUUAACUAAUCCACUCCAGCCUGUUCUGGACCAAGCAUGACAGGUUCCAUUUGAUCUCGAGGGGGGGUAUCUGUUCAGAUUAACACAGGCAGCAAUGCAGAUGCAUGUUCCCUGGGCCAUAUCACAUGAAACAUACUUCUGGUACAAGUGCCGAACACCCUUCCUCGUGAUUGGCUCAUGUCCUCAUCACCCCAACUUCCUGUUUGGUGUGCAAUGGCAGAGUUAAACUACCUCUAUGUUGGUGUUUUGAAGAUGAUCUUUGAAGCUUGUGUAAGGAAUAAUGGAAAAUGCCGUAGCUUUUCUUUGAAGCUUAUGCAAGCUUUGGAGCAAACUUUGUCAUGUUUAUGCAAACUUUGAAAAUGGGACUGUGGUGUUUUCUUUGUUCCAGAUACCUGGACCAAAAGAAAAGGCAUUGGUAUGCUUGCAGACUUUUUUCAACAGGUCCACCAAUAAACUGGGAACAGGGAGCUCUUAGGACCUUUCUGGACCAGAAUGGCACUGGUCCUGUGCAAACGAAGUACACUAGGAAGCAGCUUGUCCCAGAAGACCAGGUAUUUUCAGAUGAAAUCUUGCACCUUCUGGCAUCACUGAGAAAGCCUGCAUAACAUCUUUCAACUUGUGCAUGUAGAUGUAUGCUCACCAUUGCACUUGGUCUUGUAUGUUUUCGAACUUCAAUUUAAAUGUGUUCAAAACAUGAUUCAUAAUGGCACGUUUUUAAAAAUAUCUCGCCAUUUAAAUCAUGUUUAAGUUGUCCUGUUUUAUUACAUGACAGUUGUGUGAACAAAUCACAUCUGGAAAAAAAUGGAAAAGAUGAGCUCCCUUUGAUGUUAAUGAGGAGUAUGGAUUCAGUCAAAUUGUAAGGACAGAAAAGGUGGGUUGGGACGGGGCUGAGUUGCAGGGAGUCAGGAAGCAUUUUUAUUUACUUAUUUAUUUGCAUUCUUAUCCCACCGUAUACGUGAAGGUCACAACAAUUAAAUAUAUAUAUAUAUAAAUGGCACACACUAAAAAGCGAUGCCUGAAUUGGGGGAGGGAAAGCUAUCACUUUAGGCAAAGGUAAAGAGGUGUGUCUUCACUGCUCUCCUAAAGAUGUAAAGUGAAGAUACCUAAUGCACCUCAGAGGAGAGACUGUUCCACAGUCUGGGGNCACCACUGAAAAGGCCCUAUCCUGGGUGCCCACGCUUAAUGGGCCCAGGUAUUGAAUUGUUAGCCAGUGCAGCUUUUUUAAAGACUGGCAUGUUGUAUAUCUGACCAGCUGUUCCAGUCAGCAGUCUUGCUGCUGCAUUCUAUACCAGUUGCAGUUUCCAAACAUCUUCAAGGGCAGCUCCAUGUAAACUGCGUUAACAAUAAUCCAAUCUGGAAGUUACUAAAGCAUGGAUUACUGUGGCCAGAUCUUCUCUGUUCAGAAGGGGUCAUAGCUGGUGAACUAACUGUGCUAAUCAUUCUUGGCCACUGCCUCCACCUGAGUCUCAAGUGUAAGUGUAGAGUCCAAGAAUGAACACAGAUUUUGGACCUGUCCUUUCCAGGGCAAAGCAACCCCAUCAAGGACCAGAUCCCUCACAACGUCAUGGACUUGAGACCCUGUGAUGCACAGAACCUCUGUCUUGUCUGGAUUCAGCUUCAAUUUACUGGCCCUCAUCCAGCUCAUUACUGCCUCCAGGCACUUGUCCAGCACUUCAACCACCUGUCCUGAUUCAGAUGGCACAGAGAUGCAGAGCUGGGUACAUCUGCAUAUUUAUGACACCUCACUCCAAACUCCUGAUGACCUCCCCCAGUGGCUUUAUAUAGGAUUGAAAAGCAUGGGAGAUAAGAUCAAUCCCUGAGGAACCCCACACUGUGCACCCCACAGUGCAUGAAGAACAACUCUGAGAUCAUUUAUUUGUGCAAUGAGGAGGCCCCGCAGGAUAACAAAAUGAUCAAGGAAGAGUGACUUAGCAUGCUGAUCCAUCUCUUUGGAAUGAAAUGAACCCUCAUGAGAAAUGAGAUCAAAUCCAAAUGAUUUGAUUAAAUGACCACCACCAGCUCAAGGUGCUUCUGUGCCUACAAAUGGAGACUGUAUGUUGCCAGUGAAUGUAGAUCUGUGGAUCUUAGGAGGCAAGGGAGCAGCCUGAGCUGAUCCCUACAGGAUUGUAGCAAAAUGAAGACAUGGCCAGAAAACAAUGUAUGCCUAAAAAGAUACUCUCAUUGCUAUGUAUAUGGGCAGCAGACAUUAAUGCUCUUUCUGCACUGAGCCCUAUUCCAAAUUAUAUCCCAGAAUAAGGACCUGCCUUCCGCUUGCCAUAGUCUGAACCAGCAAGCCCUAACUAUUUUCCUAAUUGUGAAAUAACCAUAACUCACAACUACAUUAUGAAUUAUUUUCAAUACGAUAGUUAUGUUUUGGAAAUGUUUUGUGGUAACUGGCUAAUACUGCCUCUUCUGUUUUAGAUUUGAAUUCUGUUGUAACCCACCCUGGGAUCACCAUAAUGAAAAGUGUGUUUUUAUACUGAAGAUAGUGAAAUAAAUAAACAAACCCUAGCUUAACA
rnacentral:lncRNA from 1 species